ACAAUCUCAAGAUUUUCUUCAUUUACCUUCUCUAGCUCAUUCUUACAAGUAACUGCAGCACCGCCAAGUUUAACGAUGCAGCGAAUUGGUUUAGUGAGAUUGGGACGACGCGUGGAAUCCUCCAUUUCUGUGCUUUCUGUCCUUGCUUCAGCUGUAUGCUUGAUUCCACUUUAUCAGUUCAGUGUAUUCCCAAAGCUAAG
rnacentral:misc_RNA from 1 species